UGAGGAAUAUUGGUCAAUGGACGAGAGUCUGAACCAGCCAAGUAGCGUGCAGGAAGACGGCCCUAUGGGUUGUAAACUGCUUUUAUAAGGGAAUAAAGUGAGAGUCGUGACUCUUUUUGCAUGUACCUUAUGAAUAAGGACCGGCUAAUUCCGUGCCAGCAGCCGCGGUAAUACGGAAGGUCCGGGCGUUAUCCGGAUUUAUUGGGUUUAAAGGGAGCGUAGGCCGGAGAUUAAGCGUGUUGUGAAAUGUAGAUGCUCAACAUCUGAACUGCAGCGCGAACUGGUUUCCUUGAGUACGCACAAAGUGGGCGGAAUUCGUGGUGUAGCGGUGAAAUGCUUAGAUAUCACGAAGAACUCCGAUUGCGAAGGCAGCUCACUGGAGCGCAACUGACGCUGAAGCUCGAAAGUGCGGGUAUCGAACAG
rnacentral:rRNA from 1 species